GGAUUAGAUACCCUGGUAGUCCACGCCGUAAACGAUGAUCACUCGUUGUUGGCGAUAUAUAGUCAGCGACCAAGCGAAAGUGUUAAGUGAUCCACCUGGGGAGUACGCCCGCAAGGGUGAAACUCAAAGGAAUUGACGGGGGCCCGCACAAGCGGUGGAACAUGUGGUUUAAUUCGAUGAUACGCGAGGAACCUUACCUGGGCUUAAAUGUAUAAUGCUUUUCAGCGAAAGUUGAUUUUCCUUCGGGACGUUUUACAAGGUGCUGCAUGGUUGUCGUCAGCUCGUGUCG
rnacentral:rRNA from 1 species